UACGAGGGGGACUAGCGUUGUUCGGAAUCACUGGGCGUAAAGCGCACGUAGGCGGAUAUGUCAGUCAGGGGUGAAAUCCCGGGGCUCAACCUCGGAACUGCCCUUGAUACAGCAUAUCUUGAGUCCGAUAGAGGUGGGUGGAAUUCCUAGUGUAGAGGUGAAAUUCGUAGAUAUUAGGAAGAACACCGGUGGCGAAGGCGGCCCACUGGAUCGGUACUGACGCUGAGGUGCGAAAGCGUGGGGAGCAAACAGG
rnacentral:rRNA from 1 species